CGGGUGGCAGCAGUCGAGAAUAAUUCACAAUGGGGGCAACCCUGAUGGUGCAACGCCGCGUGGAGGAUGACGGUCUUCGGAUUGUAAACUCCUGUCAUCUGGGAGUAAGGCGUGGUGAUGAAUAGUCAACACGAUUGAUAGUACCAGAAGAGGAAGGGACGGCUAACUUCGUGCCAGCAGCCGCGGUAAUACGAAGGUCCCGAGCGUUGUUCGGAAUCACUGGGCGUAAAGGGAGCGUAGGCGGUGCGGUAAGUCAGAUGUGAAAUCCCGGGGCUCAACCCCGGAACUGCAUCCGAUACUGCCGUGCUAGAGGAUUGGAGAGGUAGCUGGAAUUCUUGGUGUAGCAGUGAAAUGCGUGGAUAUCAAGAGGAACACUCGUGGCGAAAGCGAGCUACUGGACAACUCCUGACGCUGAGGCUCGAAGGCCAGGGUAGCGAAAGGGAUUAGAUACCCCAGU
rnacentral:rRNA from 1 species